rnacentral:lncRNA from 1 species
AAUGGAUCACCAGACCGUGUACCCCGCUGUGGAAAUACGCGCACACCGCACACACGUUCAUAGUUCCUGGCGUUAGAGAAGGUGCGUAGUGAAUACAGAAUGAUCAUACACCCUACGGGGAGAGCUUGUGGGUUUAUAGCAAUAGAAGAUUAGGAUGUGCUUAGUUCUUAAUAUUAGCGAAGAAAAUAAUGAAAGAGUAAGAAAAGAAGUACAGAAACAGGAAGAUACCUGGCAGUAUUAUUUUCCAUUAAGAAAUAUUUGGAACUUCAUAUGAGAUCAUCUGAGGAUUUGGUCAAGUUCAUGGGCAAGCGUAAUGGGAGGGGAGAAUAAGUGUUGGAGCAAAUCUGCAAAACACGGAGGGGAAACGACAAUGUGCCUUGUAAGAUGAAGGUUUAGGUUGCGAGUCCUUUCUGGUGUUCUCUCAUCUUCUCUGCAAAGCUCAGGGCACCUGGGGACGCAUAAAGCCCGCAUCCUCCCCUAAAUGAGUGUGCGUGUCCGAGGUAUGCACUGCUGUCCCUCUUAAACGCACACAUUCUACUCUGUAAGAAAAAGCUGGCUUUUAAAACGGACAUUUUGGGAGCAACAGAAUAUCCUGUACCCAUGUUUUUAUUGAAGGAAAUUUCUAAAAAAGUGUUUUACUCCAUAAGUAAAGUGAUAGGGCAUGGGGGUCGGAAAGUCUCCUUUGACUUACUGUAGCAGGACUUGCUUUGCUUUGCUCUAAUGUUGGCGAAUAUAAACAUAUAUCCUGGUGGAUGCAUCCCGUUGUCUAAGGCUAUGUUCUCGCAAAGCUCAAAGCAUGUCUGGACAUCACUGGGAUGAAGUAAAAUCUCGGCAUCAGAUUUGGCGGUGGGUUCAACGAAACACAGUAGAUCACUAUCGCACGUCAGGAUCACAAAGUUCACUAAAAGUGUCACAGUUGAAGCUUAGUUUCAUCUCGAACAGAUUGUAUCUCUGGUACAUAAAUGCAUCCGGAAGAUAUGUGAAAAAGUACCAGGUCUCCAGGUUGAGUUGCAGGUUACCUUUCAUCUCCUGGGAAUUUCUGUAUGGAUGCGAGGAGGGGAUAAUUCAUAUUAUCUUGGGGGUCAUUGUCCACGUUUAGUUGUAGGUUGCUUUUGGAACAUCGUGGGUAGGCCUGGAGUCGCGCAGCAGUGAUACAUUUUAUCAGACUUCGUAGCUUUGCAUACAAGGACAAUUUACUUGCAAUACUUUCUUUACUGACCCUUAUUCCUGAAAAAGGCACCCCGGAGAACCGC